UGUGUCUUUGUGCAUUUUGCUUCCUUUAGCAGCCAAAGCUCUUCCGAGAAUCUGCUAAGGGACCUCGGCCAAGCAGAGGGGGAGGAUCCUCCCACGCCGGGGAGACCGAAGGGCAUCGCUCCCCGCGCCGCGCCCGCCGCUGAGCCCCGAGUGCGGACACCCCAGGGAUGCCUGCGCCCCAGAGGACCCCCGCCUGCAGCCCCCGCGCCUCUCUCAGGCCCUAUCGGAGCAUGCUGCCUGCAGCCAUGAAGAGCCUCGGCCUGGCGCUACUGGCCUUGCUUCUCUGCCCCUCGCCCGCCCAUGGCCUGUGGUGCCAGGACUGCACCCUGGCCAAUUCCAGCCAUUGCGCCCCGAAGCAGUGCCAGCCCACUGAUACCGUUUGUGCCAGCGUGCGGAUCACG
rnacentral:lncRNA from 1 species